rnacentral:lncRNA from 1 species
UCUGAAGAUAACGCUGCGUUAGGGCAUACUGCGGCGGAGGAUGGAACUCCGAUUGAAAGCAGUUGCUGGAGUGGAGCACGAAUUUCAACAAGCCGCAUGUUGAAGUGUGAGGCGUGAAAGGGUAUGUCUGAUAUUUGCUUUAAAAUGCUCCAGCAAAGAAAUUAAGGGAUGGAUGAAGCAAAAGAGGUAUGGUGGCUCAUGCCUCUAAUCUCAGCACUUUGGGAGGCCG